rnacentral:rRNA from 1 species
GACGAACGCUGGCGGCGUGCUUAACACAUGCAAGUCGAACGGAAAGGCCCUGCUUUUGUGGGGUGCUCGAGUGGCGAACGGGUGAGUAACACGUGAGUAACCUGCCCUGGACUUUGGGAUAACUUCAGGAAACUGGGGCUAAUACCGGAUAGGAGCUCCUGCUGCAUGGUGGGGGUUGGAGAGUUUCGGCGGUUGGGGAUGGACGCGCGGCUUAUCAGCUUGUUGGGGGGGUAGUGGCUUACCAAGGCUGUGACGGGUAGCCGGCCUGAGAGGGUGACCGGCCACAUGGGGCCUGAGAUACGGCCCAGACUCCUACGGGAGGAAGCGGUGGGGAAUAUUGCACAAUGGGCGGAAGCCUGAUGCAGCAACGCCGCGUGCGGGAUGACGGCCUUCGGGUUGUAACCCGCUUUCGCCUGUGACGAAGCGUGAGUGACGGUAAUGGGUAAAGAAGCACCGGCUAACUACGU